AUUGAACGCUGGCGGCAGGCCUAACACAUGCAAGUCGAACGAGUGGCGGACGGGUGAGUAAUGUCUGGGAAACUGCCUGAUGGCGGGGGAUAACUACUGGAAACGGUAGCUAAUACCGCAUACCAUCAGCUGUGCCCAGGUGGGAUUAGCUUGUUGGUGGGGUAACGGCUCACAAAGGCGACGAUCCCUAGCCGGUCUGAGAGGAUGACCGUCCACACUGGAGCUGAGACACGGUCCAGACUCCUACGGGAGGCAGCAGUGGGGAAUAUUGCACAAUGGGCGCAAGCCUGAUGCAGCCAGGCCGCGUGAAUGAAGAAGGCCUUCGGGUUGUAAAGCACUUUCAGCGGGGAGGCGGUACCCGCAGAAGAAGCACCGGCUAACUCCGUGCCAGCAGCCGCGGUAAUAC
rnacentral:rRNA from 1 species